UACGGGGGAUGCAAGCGUUAUCCGGAUUUAUUGGGUUUAAAGGGUGCGUAGGCUGUGAGGUAAGUCAGCGGUGAAAUGCCCCCGCUCAACGGGGUGAAGUGCCAUUGAUACUGCCUUGCUGGAAUGCGGAUGCCGUGGGAGGAAUGUGUGGUGUAGCGGUGAAAUGCAUAGAUAUCACACAGAACACCGAUUGCGAAGGCAGCGUGCCGUGCCGCCACUGACGCUGAGGCACGAAAGCGCGGGGAUCGAACAGG
rnacentral:rRNA from 1 species